rnacentral:tmRNA from 1 species
GGGGCUGAUUUUGGAUUCGACGGGAUAUCUUAUAUUUAAAGUGCAUGCCGAGGUGAGGCAGGCCUCGUAAAAAAGCCUAAAAAAAUAACUGCAAAUAAUAGUACACGUAGUGAAUCUGUUGCUUUGGCAGCUUAAAAUCAGAUUAAUACCCUGAAGAUUCCCUCUUACAUUUAAUAUUUACUCUUGAAUAUUAAAAAGAAAGUUAAAUGAGAGGUCAUAUAUAAUAAGAGUGCGCGUGAAUGCUUGCUUUUGGCUUGACGUUAAGUGUUAUAAAAGCUAGUGGAUUUAGUGAUUGGUCUUGAUAUAUCUAAAUCGAUUAAAUACAAUUUGAGACCUAAGCAUGUAGGUGACUGAGAAUAGUUAAGAAUUUCUGGACGCGGGUUCAAAUCCCGCCAGCUCCACUG